rnacentral:tRNA from 1 species
UUCCUGGCAGUCUAGUGGUUAGGACUUAGCACUUUCACUGCCAAGGCCCAAGUUCAGUUCCUGGUUGGGAAA